GCUCACCAAGGCAACGAUGCGUAGCCGACCUGAGAGGGUGAUCGGCCACACUGGGACUGAGACAAAAGCCCAGACUCCUACGGGAGGCAGCAGUAGGGAAUCUUCCGCAAUGGACGAAAGUCUGACGGAGCAACGCCGCGUGAGUGAUGAAGGUUUUCGGAUCGUAAAGCUCUGUUGUUAGGGAAGAACAAGUACCGUUCGAAUAGGGCGGUACCUUGACGGUACCUAACCAGAAAGCCACGGCUAACUACGUGCCAGCAGCCGCGGUAAUACGUAGUUUGCAAGCGUUGUCCGGAAUUAUUGGGCGUAAAGGGCUCGCAGGCGGUUUCUUAAGUCUGAUGUGAAAGCCCCCGGCUCAACCGGGGAGGGUCAUUGGAAACUGGGAUAUCUUGAGUGCAGAAGAGGAGAGUGGAAUUCCACGUGUAGCGGUGAAAUGCGUAGAGAUGUGGAGGAACACCAGUGGCGAAGGCGACUCUCUGGUCUGUCC
rnacentral:rRNA from 1 species